CUUUGAUUGCAUACUGGCAUGUAUAAAGAACGGUGGUGCCAGCAAGAGUAGGGAGUUGAUCAUCCACCUGUACUCAGCUCUGGUGAGGCCACACCUUCAGUACUGUGUUCAGUUUUGGGCCCUUCACUACAAGAAAGACAUUGAGGCCCUGGAGUGUAUCCAGAGAAGAGAAACUGGUAAGAGAAGCUGUGUGUGAACUCUCCUCCCUUCUGCUCAGCCCGACUGCAUGUCUCACCUCAGCAUUAGAGUCCCUGAGGAUAGAGAGCAAGGAAGAUAUGCCCUUGGUUCACCUAUUUCAAGAGGAUCAGAUCAAGGUAUAUUUAAGCAAAUUGAAGCUGGGCCCUGAUGGAAUGCAAUCCACAAUAACUGAGGGGUAUGGUAUCAGCGCAUUCUAGCCUUUCAUUUAUAUGUAUUCAUUUAUAUGUAUAUAUAUUAGCCUGUCAUUCUAGCCUUUGAACAGUUGUGGUGAAAGGAAGAAGUUCUUCAAGCCUAUGGGAAAGAAAAUGUUACCUCUGUCUACAAGAAGGGCAAAACGAAGAACAUGAGAAACUACAAGCAGGUCAACUUUACUUUGAUCUAGGAAAGGUGGAGGAACAGAUGAUUCAGGAAAGCAUUUCCAGGCACAUGGAGGAGAAGAAUGGUAGUAUAUAUCAAAAUAUAUCAUAUGUGGUAUGAGUAAGGAUUCACCAAGGGGAAGUUAUAGAUGACAAACUACAAAGGUCUGGCCAAAAAUAAUGCCUCCUGUUUAUUUCCAUGGACUGUGAAAGAUAUGAAGAGUUCAAUAACACUAUUUGAUAGAGAAAAUUCUCAGCUACAGAACAUCAUUUUUCAACAGUCAUUGCCAGUAAUGAACAAGAGCCUUUAUACCACACUCAUAAAAAUCAGCACCAACAGAAGUGACUUGCUGUCAUUGUUGCCACUGCUGGCAGAAACACACCAACUACUGUCUCACUGUACUCACAUCCACUGUUUGAUUUCCAUAAACAUUCAUAAAGCACUGAUGAAUGUCAGUGGGUGCAAUUUUUUCCAUAUAGGGAAAUUCAGUUACACACCCUUGUUUCAUCUGUACUUCCAUGGCAGACAUGAGUGCCACUCUGGUGCUAUCCAUCACACAGCAACAAAACAUAAUGGAAUAUUGGUGAAAUUUAAGCCUCUACUGUUGUACCAACAACAUUUGCCUCUAACACUGUGAGUUGACAUAAUAAAAUCAUAGAAUAGAAUAGAAUAAUAGAAUCACCAAGGUUAAAAAGGACCUCUAAGAGCAUCCAGUCCAACCAUCUACCUAUCACCAAUAUUUCCCACUAAGCCAUGUCCGUCAGUACCACAUCUAAGGUCUCUUGAACAUCUUCAGGGUUGAAUGACUCCACCACUUCCGUUGGCAGCCUAUUCCAGCUCCUGACCAUUCUUCUGUAGAAGUAGUUUUUCCUUACAUCCAGCCUGAACCUCCCCAGCACAACUUAAGCCCAUUUCCUCUAGUUCUGUCACUAGUUACAUGGAAGAAAAGGCCUACCCCUACCUCACCACCACCUUCUUUCAGGUAGUUGUAGAGAGGCAUUACUGCUGAAGCAGCCUUAUGUAGAUAAAUUUCUGUGAUUAAUAUUGUUUGCUGUACUGUUACUGGUUGUGGUGUUUCACAAAAUACUGAAAAGCUUAAAGUGGAUAAAUGCAGAUUAAUUCUUAAUCAGCCUGUAUCUGUUCUAAUUAUGCAUAUUUGACACAAUUAGAUUAUACAAAAAUGUAUUAGCAAAUUCUGCUGACAAAUAUGAGAAUGUUGUUUCAGGUUUGUACAAAUAUCAAGAUCUUAUUCUCAAAUUAGCAAGAGUGCAAAGAUAAUUAAUCUCUUAUCAUAUAUUUCCAGUGUUCAAACUGCAUGAUCUUGAACAGUUUUUUUUAUUAUUAUUAUUUUCUUCAGAUUCUCAGCAAAUUUUAACUUGAUCUAUGAUUGAUCUCAGAGUAAUUCACUAACUUGCACAAAAUUAUGACAAAGUUUCCUGAAAAAUGAUAGACAUUCUGCAAAGAAUUGCAGUUACAUGAGAAAACAGGAUGACCAAUAAACAAAAAAAUGAAAUAAAAAACAAUGGAAAAAAAGUAAAUUGGAGAAAUUGGGAUAAUCAUUCCUAAAAUGUGGCUGUCACUCAAAUUCAUUUCUAGUCUCAUUUUUCAAUACCUUAUGUUAACGUUAAACUAUUUAACUCACUAAUGAACAUUUACUGAAAAAUACAACCCAAAUACAGCUAUGUACAGUUUUAAUUCCUUUCAAAACAGCAGCUCUUUUAGAUGGGAAAAUAAACAUGACCAAUACGACUGAGGGUUUCAAAGCAUUCUUUCAUUAGACAUAAUACUUUGAUACAUGGUAGAAAUGUAGAAGAAGGCAUGAAAUGCAGUAUUUCUCCAAACAGAUCUGGGACACUACUCCUUGGUGCUUUACUAAACAUAGCUUAUGUGAUACAUUUUCAUUCCAUGUAAAAAAUCUCUGUUGUAUCAAAUAUAGGAAAUUAGAGGAGAAAGCCAGAUGAAUAAAAUAAAAUUAUAAGGGUAAGAGAACGUAUACAUUUGGAAAGCCUAGUAGCUUUCUAGAUUUCCAGUAUAAAGGUAUAUGUGAUAUAAAUAGAGCAAAUGCUUUAGUUCCGGAUACCUGACUGGAAGAGAAGAACUACGUUCCCCAAGAGCCUUUUCGAGUACUGUUAUCAUUCCUGCUCAAGGGAACAGAUAUAAGGUGCAGGUCAUCUGACUUGCCCCUCUUCUCGUCUCGUCGUGUUCCCUGUUGGAUUGGCUCGCUACUGCUGCGCCCGACUGCACGCAAGGCUUCAGUAUUAGCAUAAGGCCUUUGGCUCUCGGACAAUCUUUCUCUCAAUUAUUGUUGAUUUAUAUUGUAUUAUAGUGUGUUAUCUUAAAUUCCGAUACUAUAUUUAGUAAAUUAGUUUGUUUCUCCUCAGAUUGUUGCCGCUGUUUUUAAUUAUUUUGGGGUCCCCUGUUUCCCUUCCUGGAGGCGCAGAUUUUGCGAAAUCCCUCCGCCCCACUAGUUGUGGAACUGGGCCGGACCAGCCCUUAAACUGUUGACAAUGUGAUAUAUAUUAACCAUCACAUACUGUAUAGAAUAGAAAAUCUAGAAGAUAUUUUCUCUCUUAGUUCUCCCAGUGUUAUGCCAGUGUCAUUUUAACAAGCUUUGCAAAAGACAGACAGACAUAGUAGUAUCAAGACUCAAAACAUAUCACAGAAAGAUUUCUGCAUCCAAUCAUACAUUACGAACAACCAUAAUUUAAAGACAAAUAGUUAUAGAUGAAUUAUUAUCACAGUCAAAACAGUUUCAACUCUGAAAAAUUCUACUUAAUGAUAUUUAUGAUCAGUUAACAAUGACAUCUGAUCACUGAUUCCAGUACUUUGUGGGAAAAAAAAAAUCACUUAUUAUUAAAAAACAACAACAACAGCUUUCUUUUCCCUUUUCAACACCUAUGCCUUUCUCCCUGCUUCCUUAUCUUCCGUUCCCUUGUAUUCACUGCAUGUUGUACCCAGUCUUUCUUAGUUCUUUCAGUGAGGUGUUGGGAAAGUUUUAUGAUUUAGUGUUUUCUUCCUGCCAUUCUUUGCAAAUUCAUUUUUUCUCUGCUGCAUUUUGCCUCUUAGUGUUCUUGGCUUGUCUUCUGAUGUUAAAGAAGUCCCCAGAGAUGAUGAAUAUAUGAUGAAUAAGUCACAUAUGACAACAAUGGUCUCUGCCACUUUAAACACCUGUAUUGCAGAAAACCUGAAAACAUUAUUCUUUUAUACAUAUAUAUUUAUAUUUAUACUUAUAUAUAUAUAUAGUUCCAAAAAUACAUCUUUCUGUGGUCCAAAUAUCUUGUCUUAGAGAGUCUUGAGACUUGAGACAAAUUUGACAUUUCCUUGUGCAUAUACAUCCUGCAAACUACAGUAAAAUCUCAGAUCUUCAGAUGUAUAGCACAUGCAAAACAAUAGUAAACUAUACAAAGCUGACCUAAAUCUUCUUAGACAAAAAUUUGGAAAGUAAACUCAUCAGUCGUAAUUAUACUGCAUUACAAAUGUGUGUCAGCUCCUAACAUAGUGUCAGCUGUGCAGACUCCAUGGUUGUCAGAACAAUCAGAAAGAAACAAAAAAGAAAAUGUGUCAGUUCCAUUCAAUGUAAUUCUCAAAAAAUUAAAAAAAUAACCCUGCACCUAUUCUGGCUCUCUGUGUGCUGCAGCUUUCUUCAGGCCAUAUCCAGUUGCUGCACUGUAGGAUUCUCCACAAGCUGCAGUGUGGAUAUCUGCUUUGACACAGGCUGCAGGGGGACCGCCUGCUUCAUCAUGGUCUUCUGCACAGGCUGUGCAAUAAUCACUGCUCUGACACCUUUUACCCAUCUUUCUUC
ensembl:lncRNA